GUUCAACAAAAAACACAUUUUAAUUAAAUAACACAUUUUUCUCCAAAACAUGUUACCAUAUAUACACAGAUGAGCCAAAACAUGCCAAAUAUGCUGUUGGUCCUCCGCGUGCCGCCAAAACACUGCCGACCUGCCGAGGCAUGGACUCUAUAAGACCCCUGAAGGUGUCCUGUGGUAUCUGGCACCAAGACAUUACAGCAGAUCUUUCAAAUCCUGUAAGUUGCAUGUUGGGGCUGCUGUGGAUCGGACUUGUUGGUCCAGCACAUCCCACAGAUGCUCAAUUGGAUUGACAUCUGGGGAAUUUGGAGACCAGGGCAACACCUUGAACUCUUCUUCAUGUUCCUCAAACCAUUCCCAAGCAAUGUGUGCAGUGUGGCAGGGCGCAUUAUCCUGCUGAAAGAGGCCACUGUCAUCUGGGAAUAUCAUUGCCAUGAAAGGGUGUACCUGGUCUGCAAUCAUGUUUAGUGUAUCCUGGUUCCAUCACUUCCCCAGGAAAAUGGCACACAGCCGUCCAUGUGCUGUUAAAGAAAAGGGGACUCAUCGGACCAGGCACCCUUCUUCCACUGCUACAAGGUCCAGUUCAGAUGCUCUCGUGAACAUUGUAUGCACUUUCGACAGGGGUCAUCAGGGCACUCUGACCGGUCUUUCGCUAUGCAGCCCUAUACACAGCAGGUUUUGUGACACAUUCCUCCCGUAACCAUCAUUAACAUUUUCUUCCACAUUAGACCCUCUGUCGGUUUGGACCAGACGGGAUAGCCUUCAUUGCCCUUGUGCGUCGAUGAGCCUUGGGCAUUCACAAUACCAUGUCGCCAGUUUGUCUGCUGACCGGGAGAACCCCACAAGCCUUGCCUUUUCAGAGAUGCUCUGACCCAGUCAUCUGGCCAUAACAAUUUGGCACUCAGAUCUUUUUGAGGCCCCAAGACUGCAAUGCCCCCAGCCAAAGAACCAGGCCCAGUAUACACCUUGCCCCAGGUACAGCCAAUGACCACAGUCAGCACUGAGGUCAAAAGCCCUGGGGAAACCUCCAGAGAAAGUCUAGCUGGACAGAGAGCCUGGUUUCCUCAGUCACACUGUCUGGGUUUUCACCACCAGGUUGGCACUGGUCAAACAGAUAUCCUUUGGAAAACAGCCUGUAUAAUAAGGAAUAAAAUGGGCUUUCUAUUAAGGAAUACUCUAUCCAGCAUCUCUGUAUGACGUUCCUGGGACAGCCUGGGACACCUCGUGACACCCCAAGAAGCAGCUGAAGAUGCUACCCCCUAGUCUGUGGGCUGUGUGCGCCUGGGGGCGUAACAUAUCCCAGGGGGCGUGGCCAUGGUGGCAUGCUAGAAUCCUUGGUUCCAAAAGCCUGUGCCCAGACAAACUCCUCUCACCUCCCAAAAAAAUAAAAGAACACUGAAGCGCUUCAUAGGUUUUUCUGGUACUAAAGACCUCCUGUUUCAUGUGGAUGCUGACAAACAAAUUUGAAACAAAAGACAUAAUAAUGAUGAAUUGGAUGGCAACUCCACUGUUGUCUCAGUUUUUAAUCUCUACAUUCCAAAAUGGAAGAAGGCCCUGUUUUUUGAAUGCAGAUGUUUGUGUUUAAAAAAAAAAAAAAAUAGCCCCUCUUGCAAUGUGUCUAAGAAGUGUUUAGUGGAUUUAGGAUUUGGAAUGCAUGAAACUUUAUAAACAAGACCUUACACUGUUCACCAUUUCAAUCACCGAGGCCAUAAGACACUGGAUAAUGAUGAUAAUUUAAAAAGCUCAGUAGGAUUUCUCAAAAAGAAGAAAAGUAGACAACACUGAAUCUGGCCACACAGGAUGGGAGGAUCAUCAUUCAGGAGGUUUUGGUUACACCAUGAAAGCUGAAUGUGGCCAGGUUUGUUUUUUAGCCAUUGCAAAGCCAUUAAUAAGAAAAAAACAACCCCAAAACAUUUGGGUUUCUUUCGUUUCUUAAUCUCUCCACAACGUUUGGGUAUCUGAUGUAAAUUUUUGUUGCACUGUAUUUGCCUAAUUUUCUGUUACAGGAUAGCGGAUUCGCCUUAAUCAUUCCAUGUUUUUUUUAAUUUAAAGCGAUAAAUCUUAUUUUUUUACAUUUUCUGUCCAUUAAGCAGAUUUUUCAUUGCAGUCUUUUUUAUGUAAUAAUAAUGACAGCUGGAUCACUGGCUACAAG
ensembl:lncRNA